rnacentral:rRNA from 1 species
AGUGAACGCUGGCGGCAUGCCUAACACAUGCAAGUCGAACGGCAGCACAGUAAGAGUUUGCUCUUCCGGUUGGCUACUGACGGACGGGUGAGGCAUACAUCGCCAUCUACGUUUCGGUGGGGAAUUACGGAGGGCAACAUAUACUAACACAUCACACGAGCUGUUGCAUGAUACAUACGAUAUUGGUACAUUUCCCGAACUACCGGGUCGAUGUCGGAUUAGCUAGCUGGCGGGGGAAAGGCCCACCAACGCGACGAUCCGUAGCUGGUCUGAGAGGAUGAUCAGCCACACUGGAACUGAGACACGGUCCAGACUCCUACGGGAGGCAGCAGUGGGGAAUAUUGGACAAUGGGCGCAAGCCUGAUCCAGCCAUACCGCGUGGGUGAAGAAGGCCUUCGGGUUGUAAAGCCCUUUUGUUGGGAAAGAAAAGCAGCAGGUUAAUACCCCGCUGUUCUGACGGUACCCAAAGAAUAAGCACCGGCUAACUUCGUG